UGACGACGGACAUGGUGGACAAGGUGUAUUUGAGCACAAAUAACACCAUAUUUUGAUUAUGAUUUUUAUAGGCCCAGGGUAUAGUCGUGAUGUACGUAUCAACCAAAAUACUAAGGAAUGGUACUUGCUUCAGCGUUCUUGUGGCCAUUUUAACUUAAUAUUCUGGACGCACCACCUGUGUAGACUUUGCCAAAAAUGCCAAAAGAUCCACGUGAACUAAUGACGGGUAUGGUCGAUAGCAGGUAUUCUAACAGAAAACUCUCUAAUUUGCUGUAUUAUAGGGUAUUUUUUGAUGUAUAUUUUAACAAAACUACUAAGUAGCAGUGUAAUCACUUACCCUUGUGGCCCUAUCGAUUAGUGGUAUAAACGAAUUGGAGAAAAUAGCGUCCACAUGACUUUUGAUAUCACCGUCCGUUGAAUAUUGCAGAAGGUCUACAUAUAGUAAGGUCAGAUUGCCAUUACGAAAUAUCGGCUUCUUCCUGUCUUUAUACGCCUUGUGCGUUAUUUCUCUCAACGCUCGUCUUUUCUUGACAUCGGAAGCAGGAAGAUCUUCCAGUACAAAUAUAUGAGAAUUCUUACCGGUACGUUAAGAUUUAGAACGCUUAAGGACUCAUACCGUUCAGGUCUAUACUGUAUAUAAAUAAUUUAGCAAUGUGACUUGGUUUGUCCUCCGGCGAAC